GAAGCCCAGCUUGCUGGGUGGAUUAGUGGCGAACGGGUGAGUAACACGUGAGUAACCUGCCCUUAACUCUGGGAUAAGCCUGGGAAACUGGGUCUAAUACCGGAUAGGAGCGUCCACCGCAUGGUGGGUGUUGGAAAGAUUUAUCGGUUUUGGAUGGACUCGCGGCCUAUCAGCUUGUUGGUGAGGUAAUGGCUCACCAAGGCGACGACGGGUAGCCGGCCUGAGAGGGUGACCGGCCACACUGGGACUGAGACACGGCCCAGACUCCUACGGGAGGCAGCAGUGGGGAAUAUUGCACAAUGGGCGCAAGCCUGAUGCAGCGACGCCGCGUGAGGGAUGACGGCCUUCGGGUUGUAAACCUCUUUCAGUAGGGAAGAAGCGAAAGUGACGGUACCUGCAGAAGAAGCACCGGCUAACUACGUGCCAGCAGCCGCGGUAAUACGUAGGGUGCGAGCGUUAUCCGGAAUUAUUGGGCGUAAAGAGCUCGUAGGCGGUUUGUCGCGUCUGUCGUGAAAGUCCGGGGCUUAACCCCGGAUCUGCGGUGGGUACGGGCAGACUAGAGUGCAGUAGGGGAGACUGGAAUUCCUGGUGUAGCGGUGGAAUGCGCAGAUAUCAGGAGGAACACCGAUGGCGAAGGCAGGUCUCUGGGCUGUAACUGACGCUGAGGAGCGAAAGCAUGGGGAGCGAACAGGAUUAGAUACCCUGGUAGUCCAUGCCGUAAACGUUGGGCACUAGGUGUGGGGACCAUUCCACGGUUUCCGCGCCGCAGCUAACGCAUUAAGUGCCCCGCCUGGGGAGUACGGCCGCAAGGCUAAAACUCAAAGGAAUUGACGGGGGCCCGCACAAGCGGCGGAGCAUGCGGAUUAAUUCGAUGCAACGCGAAGAACCUUACCAAGGCUUGACAUGUUCUCGAUCGCCGUAGAGAUACGGUUUCCCCUUUGGGGCGGGUUCACAGGUGGUGCAUGGGUUGUCGUCAGCUCCGUGUCGUGAGAU
rnacentral:rRNA from 1 species